rnacentral:rRNA from 1 species
GACGAACGCUGGCGGCGUGCUUAACACAUGCAAGUCGAACGGAAAGGCCCUGCUUGCAGGGUACUCGAGUGGCGAACGGGUGAGUAACACGUGGGUGAUCUGCCCUGCACUUCGGGAUAAGCCUGGGAAACUGGGUCUAAUACCGGAUAGGAGCCAUUUUUAGUGUGAUGGUUGGAAAGUUUUUUUCGGUGUAGGAUGAGCUCGCGGCCUAUCAGCUUGUUGGUGGGGUAAUGGCCUACCAAGGCGGCGACGGGUAGCCGGCCUGAGAGGGUGGACGGCCACAUUGGGACUGAGAUACGGCCCAGACUCCUACGGGAGGCAGCAGUGGGGAAUAUUGCACAUUGGGCGCAAGCCUGAUGCAGCGACGCCGCGUGGGGGAUGACGGCCUUCGGGUUGUAAACUCCUUUCGCUAGGGACGAAGCUUUUUGUGACGGUACCUAGAUAAGAAGCACCGGCUAACUACGUG